AGUAAGUUAGAAAUGACAAUGCUGGAAUUCCUGAAUUUCAACAAAUGUGCUUGAUGACCUCCGAAUGGUUAAUAGGCAUAACUUUCUCUAAAAAACUCUAAAUGAAGUGAUUUAAAAAGAUUUGGAGAUCUAAGACUAAGACAAAGGCCUAAAACUUUGUUUUAGAGACUUGAAACCAAUUCUAAGUCUAAGGUGCUCGGAUACCAGUUGCAAAACUUGGUAAAAUCCUGGAAACAAGGAAAGU
rnacentral:misc_RNA from 1 species